GCACCUUUAUACUCAUUUCACCGCACAAUAGGAAUAAUUGUAAAAAAAACAAAAACAAAAACCUUAGAAACGAAACGAAUAUUUUUUUGUAGAAUAACUUUUAAUAUAAAUUGCAUGAUUUUAUACACGGGUUUUUUUCUCAUCCGUGAAUUUUAAAACGUUCGACCUAUAGAGCUUUUCGUUAACGAAUCGCAUUAUCCCUCGAAAAAUUUAACGCUCCGAGUUUAAGAGAUUUGGGUGUAUAUAGAGGUAAGACAGUUGAUGAGCGUGUCGGUAUAGAAGUGGACUUUUUUCCCCUAUAAUAAUGUUUAACGGGCAAUAUUUUAAAAAUUUAACUACCUCGGGAAAGUAAUGGUAAUUUAUAUUAUUUUCAGAAAAAUAUGACGCGUACUGUCAGAGUUUAUGGUACAUAAUAUUAUGGUACAUCGAACAUCGUUUGUUUCUACAAUAAAACGUUUGUUGUUUUUUUUUUAAUUUGAUCCUGGCCUAGAAAGUCAAUUUGCCCUCUAAAAAUAACUAUUGGUUAUAAAAACGAAAUAAAGGUAUUCCUGGCGUUGGGCUAAAGAUUUCAAGUCCACGGUAAUAUAAAAAGGCUUCAAAAGAUUGUCCCGCUACUUCUAUAAUAUUGAUAUUGUAAAACAUUUUUUUUUUUUUUUUUUGUUCCUAUAAGAACCGCGUAUUAUUUUUAAGCGUAAUAUCAGAUUUGGCUUAAACUUUUACAGCGAAAUCAGUCAACAAUCCAUAAAGUCACCUAUAUAUAGGUAGAAGGUACUUAAGAUUUUAUGACAUUCAACAUUUUUUUUUUUUUUAAUCCUAACAGUUAGUUAUACCUACACAGUUAUUCAAAGGUUUUCCGGUGGUUUUUUAUUAAAUUUGUUCAGUUUUUCUUCCACUGUAUACAGCGAUCGUGUUUUCUUCGUUUAACCACUUGAUGUGAAACGACGGGUUCCCGGUACACCGUAGCGCAAAAUUUAAUAACAAUGUGUACAGCUGCCGUGCGCGAAAAGGGACUGGAAAGUUGUUGAAUAUACUAUACUAUAUAAAUAUACAUAGAUAGCCUUGAGUAUUAUAACGUAUCUAUACCUCUCCUAAGUUUAGUCGAACAAUAUGUAUUAGUUAUUGUUAUUAUUAAUCACGCGGUACACAUUAACUAUACCUACGCUAAAACUUCGGUUGGCCGGUUACAAAUAAUUGAGGCUUGUAUAAUAAUGUUAGGUUGGGUUCGUGUAUAGAACUAAC